UCCGUAGGGUGAACCUGCGGAGGGAUCAUUACCGAGUUUACAACUCCCAAACCCCUGUGAACAUACCAAUUGUUGCCUCGGCGGAUCAGCCCGCUCCCGGUAAAACGGGACGGCCCGCCAGAGGACCCCUAAACUCUGUUUCUAUAUGUAACUUCUGAGUAAAACCAUAAAUAAAUCAAAACUUUCAACAACGGAUCUCUUGGUUCUGGCAUCGAUGAAGAACGCAGCAAAAUGCGAUAAGUAAUGUGAAUUGCAGAAUUCAGUGAAUCAUCGAAUCUUUGAACGCACAUUGCGCCCGCCAGUAUUCUGGCGGGCAUGCCUGUUCGAGCGUCAUUUCAACCCUCAAGCCCAGCUUGGUGUUGGGACUCGCGAGUCAAAUCGCGUUCCCCAAAUUGAUUGGCGGUCACGUCGAGCUUCCAUAGCGUAGUAGUAAAACCCUCGUUACUGGUAAUCGUCGCGGCCACGCCGUUAAACCCCAACUUCUGAAUGUUGACCUCGGAUCAGGUAGGAAUACCCGCUCAACUUAAGCAUAUCAAUAA
rnacentral:rRNA from 1 species